ACAUGCAAGUCGAACGAACUCUGGUAUUGAUUGGUGCUUGCAUCAUGAUUUACAUUUGAGUGAGUGGCGAACUGGUGAGUAACACGUGGGAAACCUGCCCAGAAGCGGGGGAUAACACCUGGAAACAGAUGCUAAUACCGCAUAACAACUUGGACCGCAUGGUCCGAGCUUGAAAGAUGGCUUCGGCUAUCACUUUUGGAUGGUCCCGCGGCGUAUUAGCUAGAUGGUGGGGUAACGGCUCACCAUGGCAAUGAUACGUAGCCGACCUGAGAGGGUAAUCGGCCACAUUGGGACUGAGACACGGCCCAAACUCCUACGGGAGGCAGCAGUAGGGAAUCUUCCACAAUGGACGAAAGUCUGAUGGAGCAACGCCGCGUGAGUGAAGAAGGGUUUCGGCUCGUAAAACUCUGUUGUUAAAGAAGAACAUAUCUGAGAGUAACUGUUCAGGUAUUGACGGUAUUUAACCAGAAAGCCACGGCUAACUACGUGCCAGCAGCCGCGGUAAUACGUAGGUGGCAAGCGUUGUCCGGAUUUAUUGGGCGUAAAGCGAGCGCAGGCGGUUUUUUAAGUCUGAUGUGAAAGCCUUCGGCUCAACCGAAGAAGUGCAUCGGAAACUGGGAAACUUGAGUGCAGAAGAGGACAGUGGAACUCCAUGUGUAGCGGUGAAAUGCGUAGAUAUAUGGAAGAACACCAGUGGCGAAGGCGGCUGUCUGGUCUGUAACUGACGCUGAGGCUCGAAAGUAUGGGUAGCAAACAGGAUUAGAUACCCUGGUAGUCCAUACCGUAAACGAUGAAUGCUAAGUGUUGGAGGGUUUCCGCCCUUCAGUGCUGCAGCUAACGCAUUAAGCAUUCCGCCUGGGGAGUACGGCCGCAAGGCUGAAACUCAAAGGAAUUGACGGGGGCCCGCACAAGCGGUGGAGCAUGUGGUUUAAUUCGAAGCUACGCGAAGAACCUUACCAGGUCUUGACAUACUAUGCAAAUCUAAGAGAUUAGACGUUCCCUUCGGGGACAUGGAUACAGGUGGUGCAUGGUUGUCGUCAGCUCGUGUCGUGAGAUGUUGGGUUAAGUCCCGCAACGAGCGCAACCCUUAUUAUCAGUUGCCAGCAUUAAGUUGGGCACUCUGGUGAGACUGCCGGUGACAAACCGGAGGAAGGUGGGGAUGACGUCAAAUCAUCAUGCCCCUUAUGACCUGGGCUACACACGUGCUACAAUGGAUGGUACAACGAGUUGCGAACUCGCGAGAGUAAGCUAAUCUCUUAAAGCCAUUCUCAGUUCGGAUUGUAGGCUGCAACUCGCCUACAUGAAGUCGGAAUCGCUAGUAAUCGCGGAUCAGCAUGCCGCGGUGAAUACGUUCCCGGGCCUUGUACACACCGCCCGUCACACCAUGAGAGUUUGUAACACCCAAAGUCGGUGGGGUAACCUUUUAGGAACCAGCCGC
rnacentral:rRNA from 1 species